GGGUUGUGAGGUUAAGCGACUAAGCGUACACGGUGGAUGCCCUGGCAGUCAGAGGCGAUGAAGGACGUGCUAAUCUGCGAUAAGCGUCGGUAAGGUGAUAUGAACCGUUAUAACCGGCGAUUUCCGAAUGGGGAAACCCAGUGUGAUUCGUCACACUAUCAUUAACUGAAUCCAUAGGUUAAUGAGGCGAACCGGGGGAACUGAAACAUCUAAGUACCCCGAGGAAAAGAAAUCAACCGAGAUUCCCCCAGUAGCGGCGAGCGAACGGGGAGCAGCCCAGAGCCUGAAUCAGUGUGUGUGUUAGUGGAAGCGUCUGGAAAGGCGUGCGAUACAGGGUGACAGCCCCGUACACAAAAAUGCACAUGCUGUGAGCUCGAUGAGUAGGGCGGGACACGUGGUAUCCUGUCUGAAUAUGGGGGGACCAUCCUCCAAGGCUAAAUACUCCUGACUGACCGAUAGUGAACCAGUACCGUGAGGGAAAGGCGAAAAGAACCCCGGCGAGGGGAGUGAAAAAGAACCUGAAACCGUGUACGUACAAGCAGUGGGAGCACGCUUAGGCGUGUGACUGCGUACCUUUUGUAUAAUGGGUCAGCGACUUAUAUUCUGUAGCAAGGUUAACCGAAUAGGGGAGCCGAAGGGAAACCGAGUCUUAACUGGGCGUUAAGUUGCAGGGUAUAGACCCGAAACCCGGUGAUCUAGCCAUGGGCAGGUUGAAGGUUGGGUAACACUAACUGGAGGACCGAACCGACUAAUGUUGAAAAAUUAGCGGAUGACUUGUGGCUGGGGGUGAAAGGCCAAUCAAACCGGGAGAUAGCUGGUUCUCCCCGAAAGCUAUUUAGGUAGCGCCUCGUGAAUUCAUCUCCGGGGGUAGAGCACUGUUUCGGCAAGGGGGUCAUCCCGACUUACCAACCCGAUGCAAACUGCGAAUACCGGAGAAUGUUAUCACGGGAGACACACGGCGGGUGCUAACGUCCGUCGUGAAGAGGGAAACAACCCAGACCGCCAGCUAAGGUCCCAAAGUCAUGGUUAAGUGGGAAACGAUGUGGGAAGGCCCAGACAGCCAGGAUGUUGGCUUAGAAGCAGCCAUCAUUUAAAGAAAGCGUAAUAGCUCACUGGUCGAGUCGGCCUGCGCGGAAGAUGUAACGGGGCUAAACCAUGCACCGAAGCUGCGGCAGCGACGCUUAUGCGUUGUUGGGUAGGGGAGCGUUCUGUAAGCCUGUGAAGGUGUACUGUGAGGUAUGCUGGAGGUAUCAGAAGUGCGAAUGCUGACAUAAGUAACGAUAAAGCGGGUGAAAAGCCCGCUCGCCGGAAGACCAAGGGUUCCUGUCCAACGUUAAUCGGGGCAGGGUGAGUCGACCCCUAAGGCGAGGCCGAAAGGCGUAGUCGAUGGGAAACAGGUU
rnacentral:rRNA from 1 species